rnacentral:piRNA from 1 species
GGUGCAUGAUCUCUAUAGUUCUGAGA